UUCGCAAUGCCCGAAAGGGUGACGAAGCGACGCCGCGUGCGGGAAGAAGGCCUUCGGGUUGUAAACCGCUGUCGGGAGUUAAGAAAUGCAAGGAUGUUAAUAGCGUCUUUGCUUGACUAAGGCUCCGGAGGAAGCCACGGCUAACUCUGUGCCAGCAGCCGCGGUAAUACAGAGGCGGCAAGCGUUGUUCGGAAUUAUUGGGCGUAAAGAGCACGUAGGCGGCUAUGUAAGUCGGUUGUGAAAGCCUUCCGCUCAACGGGAGAACAGCAUCCGAUACUGCAUGGCUUGAGUGCGGGAGGGGAGAGUGGAACUUCUGGUGGAGCGGUGAAAUGCGUAGAUAUCAGAAGGAACGCCGGCGGCGAAAGCGGCUCUCUGGCCCAUAACUGACGCUGAGUGUGCGAAAGCUAGGGGAGCAAACGGGAUUAGAUACCCCGGUAGUCCUAGCCGUAAACGAUGGGCACUAAGUAGAGGGGUUUU
rnacentral:rRNA from 1 species